rnacentral:rRNA from 1 species
GAUGAACGCUAGCUACAGGCUUAACACAUGCAAGUCGUGGGGCAGCAUGGGAGAUGCUUGCAUUUCCUGAUGGCGACCGGCGCACGGGUGAGUAACGCGUAUCCAACCUGCCCUUUACUCCGGCACAGCCCGUCGAAAGGCGGAUUAAUGCGGGAUGCAGUCAGAGAGAUGCAUAUAUGUCUGACGAAAGGAAUUGUCCGGUAAGGGAUGGGGAUGCGUCCGAUUAGCUUGACGGCGGGGUAACCGCCCACCGUGGCUACGAUCGGUAGGGGUUCUGAGAGGAAGGUCCCCCACAUUGGAACUGAGACACGGUCCAAACUCCUACGGGAGGCAGCAGUGAGGAAUAUUGGUCAAUGGGCGAGAGCCUGAACCAGCCAAGUAGCGUGCAGGAAGACGGCCCUAUGGGUUGUAAACUGCUUUUGUGCGGGAAUAAAGGAGCCUACGUGUAGGCUUUUGCAUGUACCGUAACGAAUAAGCAUCGGCUAACUCCGUGCCAGCAGCCGCGGUAAUACGGAGGAUGCGAGCGUUAUCCGGAUUUAUUGGGUUUAAAGGGAGCGUAGACGGGUUUUUAAGUCAGCUGUGAAAGUUUGGGGCUCAACCUUAAAAUUGCAGUUGAAACUGGAGACCUUGAGUACGGUUGAGGCAGGCGGAAUUCGUGGUGUAGCGGUGAAAUGCUUAGAUAUCACGAAGAACCCCGAUUGCGAAGGCAGCCUGCUAAGCCGCCACUGACGUUGAGGCUCGAAAGUGCGGGUAUCAAACAGGAUUAGAUACCCUGGUAGUCCGCACGGUAAACGAUGGAUACUCGCUGUUGGCGAUAGACGGUCAGCGGCCAAGCGAAAGCGUUAAGUAUCCCACCUGGGGAGUACGCCGGCAACGGUGAAACUCAAAGGAAUUGACGGGGGCCCGCACAAGCGGAGGAACAUGUGGUUUAAUUCGAUGAUACGCGAGGAACCUUACCCGGGCUUGAACUGCAGUGGAAUUAUCCGGAAACGGAUAAGCGAGCAAUCGCCGCUGUGGAGGUGCUGCAUGGUUGUCGUCAGCUCGUGCCGUGAGGUGUCGGCUUAAGUGCCAUAACGAGCGCAACCCUUGCUGCCAGUUACUAACAGGUCAUGCUGAGGACUCUGGCAGGACUGCCAUCGUAAGAUGCGAGGAAGGUGGGGAUGACGUCAAAUCAGCACGGCCCUUACGUCCGGGGCUACACACGUGUUACAAUGGGGAGUACAGAGGGCAGCUACCGGGCGACCGGAUGCGAAUCCCGAAAGCUCCUCUCAGUUCGGACUGGAGUCUGCAACCCGACUCCACGAAGCUGGAUUCGCUAGUAAUCGCGCAUCAGCCACGGCGCGGUGAAUACGUUCCCGGGCCUUGUACACACCGCCCGUCAAGCCAUGAAAGCCGGGGGUACCUGAAGUACGUAACCGCGAGGAUCGUCCUAGGGUAAAACCGGUAAUUGGGGCUA